rnacentral:tRNA from 1 species
GGUGGUGUAGCUCAGUGGGAGAGUGCUUGCCUCGCAUGCAAAAGGCCAGAGGUUUGAUUCCCAGCACUGCAA